GGGAGCGACAGAGCUCGGCUUUAAUACGGUUUUUGACGCUGUUUCCCAUGACCUCAUAAGCACACACGAGUAAUAGAGCCUCCAGGAGCCUACGGGUGCAGGACUGGUUGGAGACCCGCUCCCAGAGAGUAGGUACCAGUGGAAUCGCAGAGCGAGUGGGGUCCCGCGGGGAUCUGCCCUGGGUCCGGUUCUAGUCAAUAUGGUCAUAAAUGAUUUGGCUAAUGACAGAGAGAGAGCGCUGAUAACGUAUGCGGAUGUUACCAAAUGGAGGGGUUGCAGGAUGAAAUUCAAUAAGAACAAAUGUGAAGUGCUCCCCUUAGGAAGGAGCAGUCAGUUGCACACACGAUGGGCAGCGACUGCCGAGGAAGCAGGACUGCAGGAAGGGAUCUGGGGGUGCUAGUGGAUCUCCGACUAAAAAGGAGUCAAUAAUACAAGACUGGUGCAAAAAACCCCCAACAUUCUGGGAUGUAACAGAGUUGGGAAUUUUUCAUACGAUUUUGGAUGAAUAAUGUGUGCCUCAGUUUCCCCCAUGGGCUGCAUGGUUAACGGCGGGGUGGGGGGAAGGUUUACUCUUUGCGGAAGUGGCUGAUGCCUGGCUGUCUGGGGCCCGGAGAGGACAAUGGCCACUCCAACUGCCCAGCCCUUUGGUACCUAGCAAAUAACGACCAUGGAUGGCCCAUCCUCUGCGGGAAGCCAGCCAGUAGUGACCAACUGGAGGACAAAGUAUGGAGGGGGGCUUGUUGAGUUCUUACGUGUGGGCUGCUGGAAGCAGGGUUCCCUCUUCUGGACUGGAGGUCAGACAGGGCUCUGGGCUCAGGACUGGCCCGGAUGGACUAUGCUGUAACUCUGUAUGUGAACUAAGAACGUCCUACACUCUGUUCCAGACAUCUAAUAAACCCUUCUGUUUUA